AGCUCCAAUAGCGUAUAUUAAAGUUGUUGUGGUUAAAAAGCUCGUAGUUGGAUCUCGGCGGUCUGAGGGCGGUUCGCUUGAUUGAGUGCUACUGCUCUAUAGGCCGUGGUUUUGCCAGAGGUCUCGGGGUGCUCUUAACCGAGUGUCCUGCGAUGCUGGCAGGUUUACUUUGAAAAAAUUAGAGUGCUCAAAGCAGGCUUUUACGCCUGAAUAUUCGUGCAUGGAAUAAUAGAAUAGGAACUCGUUUCUAUUUUGUUGGUUUUCGGAAAUCGAGUUAAUGAUUAAUAGGGACAAUUGGGGGCAUUAGUAUUCAGGCGACAGAGGUGAAAUUCUUUGACCGUCUGAAGACUAACUACUGCGAAAGCAUUUGCCAAGAGUGUUUUCA
rnacentral:rRNA from 1 species